rnacentral:rRNA from 1 species
CCUACGGGGCGCAGCAGUGGGGAAUAUUGGACAAUGGGGGCAACCCUGAUCCAGCCAUGCCGCGUGUGUGAAGAAGGCCCUCGGGUUGUAAAGCACUUUCAGUGAGGAAGAACGCCUGGUGGUUAAUACCCAUCAGGAAAGACAUCACUCACAGAAGAAGCACCGGCUAACUCCGUGCCAGCAGCCGCGGUAAUACGGAGGGUGCGAGCGUUAAUCGGAAUUACUGGGCGUAAAGCGCGCGUAGGUGGCUUGAUAAGCCGGUUGUGAAAGCCCCGGGCUCAACCUGGGAACGGCAUCCGGAACUGUCAAGCUAGAGUGCAGGAGAGGAAGGUAGAAUUCCCGGUGUAGCGGUGAAAUGCGUAGAGAUCGGGAGGAAUACCAGUGGCGAAGGCGGCCUUCUGGACUGACACUGACACUGAGGUGCGAAAGCGUGGGUAGCAAACAGGAUUAGAUACCCCUGUAGUC